GAACGGGUGAGUAACACGUGAGCAACCUGCCCUUGGCUCUGGGAUAGCCUCCGGAAACGGGGAUUAAUACCGGACAUGACUCCUCACUGCAUGGUGGGGGGUGGAAAGUUUUUCGGCCAGGGAGGGGCUCGCGGCCUAUCAGCUUGUUGGGGGGGUAACGGCCCACCAAGGCGACGACGGGUAGCCGGCCUGAGAGGGCGACCGGCCACACUGGGACUGAGACACGGCCCAGACUCCUACGGGAGGCAGCAGUGGGGAAUAUUGCACAAUGGGGGAAACCCUGAUGCAGCGACGCCGCGUGCGGGAUGAAGGCCUUCGGGUUGUAAACCGCUUUCAGCAGGGACGAAGCGAGAGUGACGGUACCUGCAGAAGAAGCGCCGGCUAACUACGUGCCAGCAGCCGCGGUAAUACGUAGGGCGCAAGCGUUGUCCGGAAUUAUUGGGCGUAAAGAGCUCGUAGGCGGCCUGUUGCGUCUGCUGUGAAAUCCCGGGGCUUAACCCCGGGCCUGCAGUGGAUACGGGCAGGCUGGAGGCAGGCAGGGGAGAACGGAAUUCCCGGUGUAGCGGUGAAAUGCGCAGAUAUCGGGAGGAACACCGGUGGCGAAGGCGGUUCUCUGGGCCUGUACUGACGCUGAG
rnacentral:rRNA from 1 species